UACGUAGGGAGCAAGCGUUGUUCGGAUUUACUGGGCGUAAAGGGCGCGUAGGCGGCGCGGUAAGUCACUUGUGAAAUCUCUGAGCUUAACUCAGAACGGCCAAGUGACACUGCAGUGCUAGAGUGCAGAAGGGGCAAUCGGAAUUCUUGGUGUAGCGGUGAAAUGCGUAGAUAUCAAGAGGAACACCUGAGGUGAAGACGGGUUGCUAGGCUGACACUGACGCUGAGGCGCGAAAGCCAGGGGAGCAAACGGG
rnacentral:rRNA from 1 species